rnacentral:lncRNA from 1 species
UGGCAGGGUGGGGGUGGGGGGCAGCAGAUCAGAGCUGGGUGGGGAAAGUCAGAGGGAGACGGAAGGGAAAGAAUAUAUGUUUCCUAUUUAUUUUGGACAGCGAGAUAUACCUGUUCAAGGUAAUACCUCUGUCCUAAUUUCAAGUUCAAGCUAGAUAAUUCCCUUAUAUACUUGGAGCUUUAUUUCCUUUUCUUUAUUAAAGAAAAAGAAAAAACCAACUCAAAGCAUUCCUGCUAGAGACAUACUUCUGCUCCCUUUACUUAUAAAAUUACUCAAUUUGAAAUGUACCAAAAAAUUUCCAAACUUAAAUUGGUGAAAAUUCCUUCCCUGGGACUUUUUGCCCCAGACUCUUUGCCCCAGAAAGAGACCUCAAAAACCUAAACCUCUAGUGCCAGGCAGACCUUUGUUUCAAAGCCUGGUUAGGCAAGUCCGUAGAACCUCCUUGUCUCUCCUUCUCUCCUUCUUAAGUAUAAGUUUGGCCUUGCAUCCAGGUAUCUGGUUCUGGUUAUCCCUGUGCAGUGUUUAGUAAUAACCAGGGUGGUAGCCAGCAUGGAUACAAACCCUCUUCUGAAUAUUAACAGAUGGUCCAGUUUCCAAGAAAUGGGUAUUCAGAGGGGAUGUAGUCAUAGUCGGCUGCGUACCUGGCUGACACCUGAGGCCAAGAUUUGUUAGUCUCUAAGCCUAUGUUCACAGCGUUGCCGGGAGUACCACUGCCCUACCUGGGAGAGGGAAGGGAUUUUGAGAGGUUCUCCAUUAUGUGCUCAGAAGUUGGCAAGCAGUGGCAGGAAUAACCACACACAGCAGACCAACAAUAGACUUUCAGAGAUGACUCUGGAAACCACUGACCAGCAGCUUGGGCCUUCCCAUUUAGAUAUUGCUUAAUAAAUUUUAUUAUUUCCUAUGCUAUUUUAUUCCCUAAGCAGCUAGAAGGAGAGGGAAGCAAUUCAGGUAGGAACGAAAGGGGGCCAGAGAAAAUCUAUGCACAUGUAAACCAAUUUUGGCCCUUGGGUGAGGCACCCUGUCUUUUCCCUUUUCUGCCUCCCUUUCUGCUCCUGCUCCUCUUUCUCUGUACUGUGUGGGCAUCAAGCAGGUUCUAAAGGGAGGUCUAGUAAUUACUCUGUGGGAUAAUUUGUUGUGUGGGAUGUUUGCUGUAUAGAAUGAAAUAAUGGCGUCAUUGUAGAAUGGACUUCAGAACUGAGGUUCUGGAGUGACACUAUAGAAAUGCAAUUUCUGAUUCCCUUGUGUUCAAUCUCAGUGAACUGGGACAGGUGAUUGCCCCUCCCUGGGCCUUCCUUUUAUCACCCAUGGCAGGAAGAGGGUGGUGGUCCUGACUUCAUGGUAUUGUUGGGAUGACUCAAUCAGAUAACACACAGGAAGGGCUCAGCCCUGUGCCCGGGUAUUGUAAUUCCAUUCCAAAAAUCAAAUAGCUUGUGUAUGGUCAUGGCCAUAAGGUGAGCAUGUUUACAGAUCUGUGGGCACUCUUCCUGCCACCAGCGUCACCAACUGCUCCAUCCCUUGUUCCAUCAAAUACAUGUGGACCACCAUUCAUACCUAAGUCAUGGGAAGUGGCGGCAAAUGGGAGGCAAACAUGAAUGGCUGGUGGGCUGGGCAUGCAAAGGAAAUGAAGGGAAGAGAAAUAGCCUGUGGCCCGAGUUUUAAUUCAAUAAAUAUUUACUAAACUCACACCAUCCUCCAGGUAUAAGAACAGGGUAUAAAAAGUCAUGGAGGACACAGAUAUGAUCCCUGCCCAUAAGGGCAGAACUCUUAUAAUUAAGAUUUAGGAAAGGUAUAAAUGUGUAGGAAGGAUAUUUGGAUAGAGAAAGGAAAGCCAGGGAAGGGGGGUUUAAAAAGAAAACACAAAAGAAAACUAGGAUGGAGCAGAUGGAGGUACAGGCAUAUAAAUUACAUACAAUUAGACAUCAGGCCUGGCUUUUAAACUGUCCUGCCUAGAAUGUCCUCUCUGUCAUCCUAGGCUGAUGAAAUAUAACACAAUAUCCACCCCCAGUGCCACAUCCUCUGAGAAGUCUUUCAGCAUCAGAAGCAGACAGAAGGGAUCUCACUGUCUGUUUGUGUGUCUCUCUCCUUCUCUCCCUCCCCUCUCCCCCAUCUCUCUGUCUUUCUUUCUCUCUUUCUCGCUUUCUCUGCUACUCCUCUAAGUGUUAAUACAUUGUCAGGAUAAGAUUCCUAUAGCACUUACUGUAAACCACUUUGACUAUUUAGACCAGCUGUCUGUGCUGCUCAGACUUCAUGUGAAAAUGUCUGUAGUGACUCAGUGCUUCCUGACUGAUGGCAGCCACACCGUUGAACCCCAGAGUCACAGGCGGCAUUUGCCUACCCAGAUUCCCAUGUGCUUACAAACACAGCUGUAUACAAAUUACAAAACCACGAACUAUUUACCUUUUCUUCCCAACCCGUUAUGGCUACAUGAUCUUAUUGAAGACCCGACUAGGGAACUUCAACAUGACACCAGGAGGUGCAGCUGUGUUUCUAAAUGCUGCAAGAGGCUCAAAUAAUUCAGAGUUUACAUGAGAUGCCUCUCAGUAUUAACAAGGUGUGGGAUAAACUGUUUACUGAUGAAGGCUACGCCUUCAGGUAAGAUGAACACUUCUCAGCAGCUUGCGUUUUGACACUGGCAAAGCAAGUGGUCAUAGCCAAUUUUCUUGGAGGCCCAAAGGCUGUUUAUCUUCCUAAGAAGCCAAUUACAAGCAAGCAUCAGAAAUAUAUAGCCCAAAAAGAGGCCAAGUGUUUAGCUUCUGCCAGAAGGACCAGAAUCUCAACUCACGACAUGCAAACACUAAGGAUGUUUGUUUUCAUCUUCUUUACCAGGGAGAUAAAUGUCGUUUACUCUUUUAAGAGGAUCUUUUAAGGCCAUUUAUUUCUCUUGACUUCGAGUAGAAGCUGCAGAGAGGGACGAGUGGUGUUUAAAACCUGGGUCCAUUUUGUGAGGAAGCGGGCCUCGGGCCAUGUGCUAGUGCUAUGGGGCCUCGAUGGGAAUUCCCAGGUUUUACUCUAGGAGCCGAGCUAGGUCAGCAGAGACAGGCCAUGUUUACUGAGGAAAGCUCAUCUCAGCAGAUUUACUUCUCUGUCCAGAAAAGGGCAUUUUGUUGUGAUCUUUCUUGGACUUUACCCUUAUAGACUUGGAUGGACCAUUAACUGAUGUAGAAACAGCUGAAAAUCCCACAUUGGCUGUGUGUAACACGUACUUCUCUCAGGUCUUUAUUUUCUUUACCUUUUGAUCUUGCAAGAUAAAGGCAAAAGAUUCUGUAUAUGCCCUGUCUCGUCAGCCACCCUGGUGGGGCAUUUACAAAGAGAAUGACCAUAAGAGCUUCUUAAUCUUUUUGCUGGUGAAUUGCUAGAAAAUGCUAGAAUACUUGAUUUUGGCUUGGCCCCAGGUCCAUUUUACAUGCCAGACACAGCAGGGCUGAAUUUGUUCGUGUUCACUUGAGGACAGGGAAGCAGAGGAAGUUGUGUAAGGGGUUUGGAAAUGGAUGUGGUGAGGGGGUGGGACCUGGGGGAGGGCCACUGCAAAUCUCUAACAAAAGGUAGUUUAUUUGUUCCACAGAAUAUGCCUUUCAGGAAAAGGCCAUUUCUAACGUACAGCAAGCUGCAGUGAGGGGAGAUGGCAAAGAUAGGGAACUGCUUUGUGUUUCUAAUUCAGUGAACUUAGAGCGUCUGAUCUUACUGUUAAAUUCAGCAAGGAAAAACUAAUCCACCUAUCCACAGUGAAGAUAUUUGAUGGGGAAGAAAUAGGAUGGAGAUAAGAUAACGACUGAACUCAAAAGAGAGUGAUAUAAUGCAGAAGAAAAAUUAGACUUUAUCUCUUGCCUUGUAUACAAAUCAAAUCAAAAUGGAUUGAAGAUGUAAAUAGAAGACCUGAAACUGUAAAACCAUUAGAGGAAAACACAAGGAAAAAAACUCCUUGACAUGGAUCUGAGCAAUGAUUUUGGUGGGGGUUGGGAGCAAAUAGCAUAGGCCACAAAAGAAAUAACAGGCAAGUGGGUUGCAUCAAACUCAAAAGCUUCUGAACAGUCAGGAGACAGCCUAUGGUGUGGGAGAACAUACAUAGGAUAAGGGGUUAAUAUCCAAAAUAUGUAAAGAACUCAAACAAUUCAAUAACAAGAAAACAAAUAAGCUGACUGAAAAAGAGACACAGGACCUGAGUAGACACUUCUCACAAGAAGGCAUACAAGUGGCCAACAGAUAUUCAAAAGGUGCUGAACAUCACUGAUCAGGGAAGUGCAAAUCAAAAUCACAGUGAGAUGUCUCAUACCUGUCAGAUGUGGUGCAGUAGGUUAAGGAUCUGGCAUUGCUACAGCUGUGGCAUAUGUCUCAGCCAUGGCUCAGAUUUGAUCUCUGGCCUGGAAACUUCCAUAUGCCAUGGAUGUGGCUGGAAAAAAAAGAUAAUGAAACAACCCAAGUGUAUGUUGAAGAAUACAUGGAUAAAAAAUGUGUUUUAUAUGUGUGUGUGUGUGUGUGUGUUAUAUAUGCACACAUACAGACACACAUGCAUACUAUACAAUGUUAUUACAAUAUUAUUUAGCCAUGAGAAAGAAGGAAAUCCUGCCACUAGUGGUAACAUGGGGCCUGGAAGAGAAUAUGCUGGGUGAAACAAGCCAGAAACAGAAAGAAAAAUACUGUAUGAUCUCACUUAUAUGUGGAAUC